CGCUGGAGCCCGGGGUCGUACACCUCGCCCCAGCCGAAGAGCGGCGGCGCCAGGGCGAUGAGGGCCGAGAGCGCCCAGCCACUGUUGUGUGUAAUCGGAGACAGCGAUCCAGCCUUCUCACCGGCAUACUGUGUGCAGUCUAGUCCAUGGAGGCUCAGCCUGAUUCCUGGGCGCAGGACACCAUGGUGCUACCCAGAUACCUUUGGCCAAGAACCAAGUUUUCCACAAGGAAUGAUGAUAAAGAAGACCAUCCGCCUGUCACCAGGACCCUGCAC